UACAGAGGGUGCGAGCGUUGUCCGGAAUCACUGGGCGUAAAGGGCGCGUAGGUGGCGCCGCAAGUCCAUGGUGAAAGCUCGAUGCUCAACAUCGAGUCGGCCACGGAGACUGCGGGGCUCGAGCACUGUAGGGGCAGAUGGAAUUCCCGGUGUAGCGGUGAAAUGCGCAGAUAUCGGGAGGAACACCGGUGGCGAAGGCGGUUCUCUGGGCCUUACCUGACGCUGAGGAGCGAAAGCGUGGGGAGCGAACAGG
rnacentral:rRNA from 1 species